UACGUAGGUGGCAAGCGUUGUCCGGAAUUAUUGGGCGUAAAGCGCGCGCAGGUGGUUCCUUAAGUCUGAUGUGAAAGCCCCGGGCUCAACCUGGGAAUUGCAUUCGAGACUGCAUUGCUGGAGUACGGAAGAGGAGGGCGGAAUUCCCGGUGUAGCGGUGAAAUGCGUAGAUAUCGGGAGGAACAUCAGUGGCGAAGGCGGCCCUCUGGUCCAGUACUGACACUCAAGUGCGAAAGCGUGGGGAGCAAACAGG
rnacentral:rRNA from 1 species